rnacentral:rRNA from 1 species
UACGUAGGGGGCAAGCGUUUGUCCGGAAUCAUUGGGCGUAAAGCGCGUGUAGGCGGCUCGGUAAGUCCGCUCUGAAAGUCCGGGGCUCAACCCCGGGAGGCGGGUGGAUACUGUCGAGCUCGAGUCCGGAAGAGGCGAGUGGAAUUCCUGGUGUAGCGGUGAAAUGCGCAGAUAUCAGGAGGAACACCGAUGGCGAAGGCAGCUCGCUGGGACGGUACUGACGCUAAGGCGCGAAAGCGUGGGGAGCGAACAGG